rnacentral:rRNA from 1 species
UACGUAGGGUGCAAGCGUUAAUCGGAAUUACUGGGCGUAAAGCGUGCGCAGGCGGUUGUGUAAGUCUGACGUGAAAUCCCCGGGCUUAACCUGGGAAUGGCGUUGGAGACUGCACGGCUAGAGUGUGUCAGAGGGGGGUAGAAUUCCACGUGUAGCAGUGAAAUGCGUAGAUAUGUGGAGGAAUACCGAUGGCGAAGGCAGCCCCCUGGGAUAACACUGACGCUCAUGCACGAAAGCGUGGGGAGCAAACAGG